rnacentral:lncRNA from 1 species
CUAUGGCAAGAACAAAAGUGGAAAUAGCCACUUCAAGGACUGCACAUGCAAGAGCUACAGCAGAUGCUGCUGAUCAGGCUGCCCUUUCUGCCCACCAAGAAUGUGACAUUGCAAGGGCUGUUGUAAGAGAGCUUUCACCAAAUUUCUAUCAACCAGGUCCUGACUAUAUCAAACAGAGAUUUUAGGAAGGCAUAGAAACUAAAGAAAAUCCAGAAGAAAAGUCCCAGAAAAGCCACCUUCACCAAAGGAAUCUCCUCAUUUUUCUAGGAAAGGCACAACUCCCCCCAGAUCUCCUGAGCCAAGUUUAAAAUCAAACCACUCUCCUCAGCCUUCCUCCCCCAUGAAAAAGCAAAACCCUAGCUCAGGGGCAAGACUCAAUCAAGAAAACAAGAGUAUUGAUGAUGAGCAUGUAACAGCAGUUGUCAACAAGUCCCUACUUUCAAAGGUACCCCUAAAGGAGGAGGUAACGGUAUUGCCUCAGUCCAAAUACUCUGGCCAACAAAAUACCUCCUUCCAUUCUGGUAAUGGGGAGUUGCAUUCACAGUAUCAUGGCUAUUAUGUGAAACUGAAUGCACCAUUGCAUGAAUUAUUUACAGUAUGAUACAGUAGAAAAGAGGUGAAGGCCUGAACUAGGAUCAUUUCAGUGGUAGCAUGAAGAAGAAGACAAAGACGACAAGGAGGACAAGGAGGAAGAUGGAAGUGUGAACCAGUCUUCUUUGGCACUGGUACCCAAGCAACCACAUCAGAAGUCAAGUCCCCCUAAGUCCAUGACAAAACUAGUUGCCAAAGAAAGCAAACCUGAACCAAAAGUGAAGAAGUAUGAACUUGCCACACGAAAGAAUCCAGCAAAUGAUUCAUAUUCUUCUUUGGAAAAAGAAGAUAAUUCACUCCAGGUGCAAGCAAUGGAGACUUCACAUAUAGAACUCAAGUCAUGGCGAUGUGGAGGCAGAAUUCCAGAAAAGAUUUUGCUACCAGCCCAACAAGAAGGGUCUAAGAACCUUGGGUGCCCAAUAUUGAAGCCUAAGGAGGGUUUGGGACUUGGAACUUGUAGGACUAUGCUAUACAGAAAUCCAUUUAAACUCUGUACCCAAUUAUCUCAUUUCCUCAUAAAUUGAUAUGCUAUAAGAGGCAAUUAGUGGGCAACUAGGUGGCUCAGUAGAUUGAGAGCCAGACCCAGAGACAGGAGGUCCUGGGUUAAAAUCUGGCCUCAGACACUUCCUAGCUGUGUGACCUUGGACAAGUCACUUAAACCCCAUUGCCUAGCUCUUACCACUCUUCUGUAUAGGAAAAAAUACCCAGCAUCAGUUCUAAGAUAGAAGGUAAGGAGAGAGGGGGGUGGAGGAGG